GAUGAACGCUGGCGGCGUGCCUAAUACAUGCAAGUCGAGCGAACGGACGAGAAGCUUGCUUCUCUGAUGUUAGCGGCGGACGGGUGAGUAACACGUGGAUAACCUACCUAUAAGACUGGGGUAACUUCGGGAAACCGGAGCUAAUACCGGAUAAUAUUUUGAACCGCAUGGUUCAAAAGUGAAAGACGGUCUUGCUGUCACUUAUAGAUGGAUCCGCGCUGCAUUAGCUAGUUGGUAAGGUAACGGCUUACCAAGGCAACGAUGCAUAGCCGACCUGAGAGGGUGAUCGGCCACACUGGAACUGAGACACGGUCCAGACUCCUACGGGAGGCAGCAGUAGGGAAUCUUCCGCAAUGGGCGAAAGCCUGACGGAGCAACGCCGCGUGAGUGAUGAAGGUCUUCGGAUCGUAAAACUCUGUUAUUAGGGAGGAACAUAUGUGUAAGUAACUGUGCACAUCUUGACGGUACCUAAUCAGAAAGCCACGGCUAACUACGU
rnacentral:rRNA from 1 species